rnacentral:rRNA from 1 species
AGAGUUUGAUCCUGGCUCAGAUUGAACGCUGGCGGCAUGCCUUACACAUGCAAGUCGAACGGUAACGGGCCUUCGGGUGCCGAUGAGUGGCGAACGGGUGAGUAAUGCAUCGGAACGUACCUUUCAGUGGGGGAUAACGUAGCGAAAGUUACGCUAAUACCGCAUAUUCUGUGAGCAGGAAAGCAGGGGAUCGCAAGACCUUGCGCUGAUUGAGCGGCCGAUGUCAGAUUAGCUAGUUGGUGAGGUAAAGGCUCACCAAGGCGACGAUCUGUAGCGGGUCUGAGAGGAUGAUCCGCCACACUGGAACUGAGACACGGUCCAGACUCCUACGGGAGGCAGCAGUGGGGAAUUUUGGACAAUGGGGGCAACCCUGAUCCAGCCAUGCCGCGUGAGUGAAGAAGGCCUUCGGGUUGUAAAGCUCUUUCGGCCGGGAAGAAAUCGUAUGGGCUAAUACCCUGUGCGGAUGACGGUACCGGCAUAAGAAGCACCGGCUAACUACGUGCCAGCAGCCGCGGUAAUACGUAGGGUGCGAGCGUUAAUCGGAAUUACUGGGCGUAAAGCGUGCGCAGGCGGUUUUGUAAGACAGGCGUGAAAUCCCCCGGCUCAACCUGGGAACUGCGCUUGUGACUGCAAGGCUAGAGUAC